AACGAACGCUGGCGGCAUGCCAAACACAUGCAAGUCGAACGGGAUCCUAGCUUGCUAGGUGAGAGUGGCGGACGGGUGAGUAACACGUGGGAACCUGCCUUUUGGUUCGGGAUAACCGCGGGAAACUGCGGCUAAUACCGGAUGCUCCCGAGAGGGGAAAGAUUUAUCGCCAGAAGAGGGGCCCGCGUCCGAUUAGGUAGUUGGUGGGGUAAAGGCCUACCAAGCCGACGAUCGGUAGCUGGUCUGAGAGGAUGAUCAGCCACACUGGGACUGAGAUACGGCCCAGACUCCUACGGGAGGCAGCAGUGGGGAAUAUUGGACAAUGGGGGCAACCCUGAUCCAGCAAUGCCGCGUGAGUGAUGAAGGCCUUAGGGUUGUAAAGCUCUUUUGCCAGGGAAGAUGAUGACUGUACCUGGAGAAUAAGCCCCGGCUAACUUCGUGCCAGCAGCCGCGGUAAUAC
rnacentral:rRNA from 1 species